CGGCAGGGGUGCCAGACAAUAUAAAGGCUGAGAUUGCGCGGCGGCAUGCCGUCUGCGCGGAACCCUUCAAACCUGAUGCGGAUAAUUCCGCCGCAGGGAGUUCGA
rnacentral:ncRNA from 1 species